rnacentral:rRNA from 1 species
CAGUCGCCGCGGUAAUACGAAGGUCCCAAGCGUUGUUCGGAAUCACUGGGCGUAAAGGGAGCGUAGGCGGCGUGGUAAGUCAGAUGUGAAAUCCCGGGGCUCAACCCCGGAACUGCAUCCGAUACUGCCAUGCUUGAGGGUUGGAGAGGUAGCUGGAAUUCUCGGUGUAGCAGUGAAAUGCGUGGAUAUCGAGAGGAACACUCGUGGCGAAGGCGAGCUACUGGACAACAACUGACGCUGAGGCUCGAAGGCCAGGGUAGCGAAAGGGAUUAGAUACCCCGGUAGUCCCUGUCUCUUAUAC